rnacentral:tRNA from 1 species
GGCGACGUGGUGGAAUUGGUAGACACACUGGAUUUAGGUUCCAGCGCCGCAAGGCGUGAGAGUUCGAGUCUCUCCGUCCGCACCA